rnacentral:rRNA from 1 species
AUGGCGGCGCCCAGCAGGGGAAGGCGGGUUGUGGGAUCGAGGCAGCACACAAAGCAACCCGUAGCCAAGCAAAGGAUGCCCAACCGGACUGGCAUGGAGCAGAGAGUGCACGAGGGGUGUGGGGAAGCGGUGAAAUUUUCGUCGGGAGUGGAUUGCUGCCGCCGUCGUCAGAUUUUGAACCUAGAGUUGAGCGCUGAGGGGAUGAUGAAGGGGAAGCGAGGAGGCAUGAAGAGGGCACUUGGAGGAGAAAGGCAUCAUCCACCCUUUGCUCGUGCGUCAGCCGCGAUUGGUGGACGGUUGUGGGCAUAUCCGAUGUCUGCACGUGGAUCUACUACUCGGGAUGGCAUGACAUGGUUGUUGUCGAGUGAGGUGCCACAACUAUUUUGUUGUGUGGGUGAGGUUGGAGAGAUAGAAGUCGUGUUGCGCUCUAGUCUAGGCCUUUAA